rnacentral:tRNA from 4 species
GCCGAAGUGGUGGAAUAGGUAGACACGCACGCUUGAGGGGCGUGUGGGGCGACCCGUGGGAGUUCAAGUCUCCCCUUCGGCACCA